AGACUGGAACUGAGACACGGUCCAGACUCCUACGGGAGGCAGCAGUGAGGAAUCUUCCACAAUGGGCGAAAGCCUGAUGGAGCAACGCCGCGUGAAGGAUGAAGGCCUUCGGGUUGUAAACUUCUUUUAUGAGUGAAGAAUAUGACGGUAACUCAUGAAUAAGCACCGGCUAACUACGUGCCAGCAGCCGCGGUCAUACGUAGGGUGCGAGCAUUAUCCGGAGUGACUGGGCGUAAAGAGUUGCGUAGGCGGUUUAAUAAGUGAAUAGUGAAACCUGGUGGCUCAACCAUACAGACUAUUAUUCAAACUGUUAAACUCGAGAAUGGUAGAGGUAACUGGAAUUUCUUGUGUAGGAGUGAAAUCCGUAGAUAUUAGAAGGAACACCGAUGGCGUAGGCAGGCUACUGGGCUGUUUCUGACACUGAGGCACGAAAGCGUGGGGAGCGAACCGGAUUAGAUACCCGGGUAGUCCACGCCGUAAACGAUGGAUACUAGCUGUUGGAGGUAUCGACCCCUUCAGUAGCGAAGCUAACGCGUUAAGUAUCCCGCCUGUGGAGUACGGCCGCAAGGCUAAAACAUAAAGGAAUUGACGGGGACCCGCACAAGCGGUGGAUUAUGUUCUUUAAUUCGAUGAUAACCGAAGAACCUUACCAGGGCUUGACAUCCAGGGAAGGUCUGCGAAAGUAGACUGUGCCUUUUGGAACCCUGUGACAGGUGAUGCAUGGCCGUCGUCAGCUCGUGUCGUGAGAUGUUAGGUUAAGUCCUUCAACGAGCGCAACCCUUGCAAGUAGUUGUAUUUUUCUACUUGGACUGCCCCGGUAACGGGGAGGAAGGAGGGGAUGAUGUCAGGUCAGUAUUUCCCUUACGUCCUGGGCUAGAAACGUAAUACAAUGGCUAGUACAAUGCGCAGCGAAGCCGCGAGGUGAAGCAAAUCGCAUCAAAGCUAGUCCCAGUUCGGAUUGCAGGCUGAAACUCGCCUGCAUGAAGUCGGAAUCGCUAGUAAUCGCAAAUCAGCAAGUUGCGGUGAAUACGUUCCCGGGUCUUGUACACACCGCCCGUCAAACCAUGAAAGUGACCAACACCCGAAGUCCGAUUCGUCGGCCUAAGGUGGGGGGCAUGAUUGGGGUUAAGUCGUAACAAGGUAUCCGUACCGGAAGGUGCGGAUG
rnacentral:rRNA from 1 species